rnacentral:rRNA from 1 species
UGGGGAAUAUUGGACAAUGGGCGAAAGCCUGAUCCAGCCAUGCCGCGUGAGUGAAGAAGGCCUUCGGGUUGUAAAGCUCUUUUAGUCGGAAAGAAAGAGUUGCAAUGAAUAAUUGUGAUUUAUGACGGUACCGACAGAAAAAGCACCGGCUAACUACGUGCCAGCAGCCGCGGUAAUACGUAGGGUGCGAGCGUUAAUCGGAAUUACUGGGCGUAAAGGGUGCGCAGGCGGUCUUGCAAGUCAGAUGUGAAAGCCCCGGGCUUAACCUGGGAAUUGCGUUUGAAACUACAAGGCUAGAGUGCAGCAGAGGGGAGUGGAAUUCCAUGUGUAGCAGUGAAAUGCGUAGAGAUGUGGAAGAACACCGAUGGCGAAGGCAGCUCCCUGGGUUGACACUGACGCUCAUGCACGAAAGCGUGGGGAGCAAACA